AUACGGAAGGGGCUAGCGUUGUUCGGAAUUACUGGGCGUAAAGCGCGCGUAGGCGGCUUAUCAAGUUAGGCGUGAAAGGCCUGGGCUCAACCCGGGAACUGCGCUUAAUACUGGUAGACUUGAGUCCGGGAGAGGGUGGCGGAAUUCCCAGUGUAGAGGUGAAAUUCGUAGAUAUUGGGAAGAACACCAGUGGCGAAGGCGGCCACCUGGCCCGGUACUGACGCUGAGGUGCGAAAGCGUGGGGAGCAAACAGGAUUAGAAACCCCUGUAGUCC
rnacentral:rRNA from 1 species